rnacentral:rRNA from 1 species
CUCAGGUAACACGUAGUCAACCUGCCCUGGAGACAAGGACAACCCCGGGAAACUGGGAUUAAUCCGUGAUAGGUCAUCUCAUCUGGAAGGAGAGAUGGCUUAAAAGGGUACGCGGGCUUCUUCCGUGCAUCCGCUCCAGGAUGGGACUGCGUCCGAUCAGGCUGUUGGCGGGGUAAUGGCCCACCAAACCUGUAACCGGUACGGGCCUUGAGAGAGGUGGCCCGGAGAUGGACACUGAGAGAAGGGUCCAGGUCCUACGGGGCGCAGCAGGCGCGAAACCUUCGCAAUGCGCGAAAGCGUGACGAGGUUAAUCCGAGUGACUCCCGCUGAGGGGGUCUUUUGUCAGCUGUAAAUAGGCAGGCGAAUAAGGGGCGGGCAAGCCUGGUGUCAGCCGCCGCGGUAAUACCAGCUCCUCGAGUGGUCGGGGCGAUUAUUGGGCCUAAAGCAUCCGUAGCCGGUUCCGUAGGUCCUCUGUUAAAUCCAACCGCUUAACGGUUGACCUGCAGAGGAUACCGCGGGACUAGGAGGCGGGAGAGGCGGACGGUACUCCGCGUGUAGGGGUAAAAUCCUUUGAUCCGCGGAAGACCACCAGUGGCGAAGGCGGUCCGCCAGAACGCGCUCGACGGUGAGGGAUGAAAGCUGGGGGAGCGAACCGGAUUAGAUACCCGGGUAGUCCCAGCCGUAAACGAUGCUAGCUAGAUGAUUCAUUCGCAAGUCGCGAAUGAAGUGUCGCAGGGAAGCCGUUAAGCUAGCCGCCUGGGGAGUACGGUC